AACCUCAUAUGUUUCCUUCUUUAUUUUCCUUGUUUAAUUAUAUUCUUCUACUCUACUCCACUCACCCUUAUUUCAUCUACUCUCUCUCUCUAGACUAAUGAUCAUGUAAUCUUGCAUGUCCUCUGUCUUUCUCUACAGAUAUAUAUAUAUAUAUAUAUAUAUAUAUAUAUAUAUACACACCAAUUGGGAAUGGUUGUUAGGGUUUCGGGAAAAUCACAUGCACCAUUGUUUUGACUUAUAUCAACCGUGAGUCAAAAUUUCUUUCACGUGCCAAAGGUAGCAGAUUAUGAAAGUUUCACACGUUUGAACCCUUGAAGAUCUUUUAUGUUCUCUAUAAAAUCAGCUUUGAACCCAGAAUUAAUGGAUUAAACUGAGUUCAAGUUACUGACACCACGUACUUCUUUGUCGGUCGCCAUCUCAUCUUCUGCUAGGGUUUUGCCAAAGAUGGUUAAUUUGGUUUGCAAGAAUUGUGAAGUAUUACAGUAUAUGUAAGUUUUAUGGUUACAGAACUGUCGAAAUAAAUUGAACUCUGACAAGGAGAAGUCAAACAGAAAGGAGGAAUCGCAUCAAGCUGGACAAAUAGUGGAAUGACAUGAUGAAACAUGAAGAGCUUUGGUUGGAGGUGUAAUAAAGGAGUUAGUAAUGAGCCAAGUUGCUCGAUCUUGUCUUUGAAUGUACAUGAACUAAGCCUUAGCCUGAUGGAAUUCAGUAAGAGACUAAAGGGAGGAAGAUAUGCUUAUGAAAAUUCUAUUGUUCCGGCACUCCAACCAAAUAGCAAUGAAACAAGCUGCAAGGGCCAAUCUGUGAGUUAGUAGAGAUAGAAUUCUGCCGGUAUGUUAGAGGGAACCCAUGAGAUGAGGUACAUUGGUGUUGAAAAUGUGACCAAAACAAUGAAAGAGAAGAUGGAGUAUGGGAUUCCAUUUGCUAAGAGGCAAAGAAUGCAGGUUUGUCGAGGGUAGAAAGUUUUUAAGGGAUACAAGCCACAGAAGGAAGUUGUGGUGAGGGAUGUGAGAUUUAAAGCAUACAAUGUGCUAAGGUGGGUAAGGAUGUGGAGGAAAGAAAAAGAAAAUGAAGGAGUACGUGGUGGAAGAUAGCUAGACAAAGAAAGGUGGCAGAAUUGAGGGGAUUAAUGGAAGGGACUAGGGACGAGAGAAAUGUCUCUCAAUUCUGGGAUAAUUCAAGCUAUGCCAGUAGGAAUUGUUAAUUGUCCAUUUUGAAUGACAAAGCUUACACAUAUAUAUAUGUGUGUGUGUAGCAAUAGAGCAGCUCAAGGUAGAAGAUUGUAGAUUCUAAUGUGUAAAAGGACCUAGCUGAUGCAAUGAAUCAAACCAAAAAGAAAGUAUCAAGCCCAUUAUCAUUUUCUUCCGAGAUAAGAGGGGCUAGCUAAAAGCCUGAGCUGAAGUAGUUUACUCAAAGUUCAAGAGUAGUCAGUUCGACAUUUGAAAACCUAGAAAUUUCUUCUAAGCUAGUCCGCUGAAAAUUUCGGAUUAAGGAGUAGUUGAUUCAUGAGAUGAUACUUUUAGGGAUAAUGAAGGUACUCAUCCAUUAAAGUUGAUUGCAAUAGAAAAUGGAUUUGAAUGUUGUAACUAGGUUUGAAUAAUUAGAAAUUUAAAGUGUUGAUGCUAUUUUGGGUUAAAAAAGUGAGUCCCGCGUGGGUCCACAGUGGAACGUAAUUCUUUUUAAAAAAAAAAAUUAUUAUAUGGUUCAAGAUCAUUAAUUCCGACCAAUCAUCAAUUGGUACUAAACAAAAAUAAAAUAAAACACUUACACAUUUACUUGUCAAUCGGUGAUUGGUCCGGACCAAUAGUUCUGAGACCCUGUAAUAAUUCUUCCACAGAGAAUAUAUAGAUAAUUUGGAAGUAUAUUUAUUUGUUCAAAAUAGUUUCUAGGCGAAUGAGAUAUUGUGCCUCAAACAGAAGUAUUUGACAAGCGUGAAACAAAAUACUAAGUAGAUGAGUAUGUAUGAAAGUGUUGUCCCUGAAUGGAAUCUAAAGAAACUUUUAAUGGGUAUAUUUAUAGAUAUAUGUAAAUAAGAGUUCACAACCAAAAUGGUAUUAUGGGCAUGGCUUUGACUCAAUCAAACUACACAUUUAACUAAAUAUUACACGUUGGGCCUGUAGUUAAAUGUGUUAGUUAACUAAAUAUUACACGUUGGGCCUGUUGUUAAAUGUGUUAGUUGGCGAUGAAAUUCGGGUAGGUGCGGGUGGGUGGUUACCCAUACAUCCAAACGGGUAUAGGGUGUGUUGAUUAACCCAUUAUGGCUCAAAAUGGGUCAGAUAAAAGGAUGCAACCCAUACAUCCGAACGGGUACAGGGUAUCUUGAUUAACCAUUGUGGCUCAUAAUGGUUCAGAUAAAAGCAUGCAACCCAUGCCCCUUCAGGUUAGACCGAAUAGGCACCUCUGGGUCUAUAAAUACCAAAACCCCAUUUGAUUCAUUCAUUUCCACAAAUUCUUAUGUCCCUCUCUCAACGUGAACAAAUUGAUUUGGUUAUAGCGAUGGUCGAGUAGUCCGAGAUCCAAAUCAAUGCGGUCAAGCUAUAUAGUCUUCUGGUACAACCAAAUGCUUCGUUGAAUCCAAUUCCUUAUUUUAGCAGUAUAGGUGUUACUUUGAGUCAGAAAGUAUUACACAGUAUGGGUUUGCUAGUUCCAUUGGUUUGGAGUGCAGCUACCGGUUAAGGGUGGCUGGAGCCUUAGGCGAGUUAGGCAGUUAACUAAAGCCCCAUCCAAUACGUAGGUCCCACAAUUUUUUUUAUUUCUUUAUAUAUUAUAACUUUCCUAAAACAGUUAUAGUAUUUCUUUUAAUUAUUAAACUUUAACAUAGAAAAAUUUGACAGUUGACCUAAAAGAUUUUUAUUCGAUCUUCAUUUUUUUUUUUUUUGAGGGGCUCCCAAAAUUUUUUUCUUUAUAUAUUAUAACUUACCUAAAUAUUUUAUUUUCUUAUAUUAUUAAACCUCAACAAAUACAAAGUGUGCCCAAAAUAUUUUUAUCCUUGUAUUAUUAUAAUUUUUUUUUUUUUUUUUUUGCUCUCUCUCACCCUCAUUACAUUAGCAUAUAUACAGACACUAAAUGUUAAGUAUAUAUUUAAAUGAAAAUUGGUGAAACUUUCUAUAUUUUUCUAAGACUCCUAUUAACUUUUAUUUUCUCUUUAUUUUUCUUACUCCUUAUAUAUUUUUUCUCCUCUCUCAUUAUAAUAUUAUUUAUUUAUUUAUUUAUUUUUCAUCUUCUCCACUUUUACAAUUUACAAUCUCACAUAUCUCACCCAGUAAAAUUUUGAAUACACUUAUAUUCUAUUAAAGAAUUUAUUAGAGUAUUAUACCAAAUUAUUCAAAAUCAGUUUCUAUUAUUCUAUAACUUAAAUUAGUUUAUAAUUUUAGUAAUUUUUAUUAUCAUAAAAUUAUAUUUUUUUUUUAUAAUUUUUAUUUAUAUUGUUAAAUGUGACUAUUAGAAAGCACAUGGCCAAUUAAUUAACAAUGGAACUACAAUUUGGAAAAAAUUUAGUGAUAGGUUUAAAAAUCACAAAAUAAAUAAUUAGCAUAAUACUGACAUAAAUAUAUAAGUAGAUUUAAUUAAAAUGCCACUUUAUUUUUUUCGCCUAAGGCCUCAGAUAACAUUGAGCCGCCCCUGCUACCGGUGGAUGAAGACACUGUUGUAUCCUUGAACACAAGUAUUGUAAAGACCGUUUAACACCAUAUUAUACGGGGCAUAAUUUGUCUUAAAGACAUAGUAUCUUAAACUCUCCUCAAUUUAAGUUCCUUUUAUAUUUUAUUUUUUUAUUAAUAAUAUUGUUCUAUCAUUUUAUUUGUAUGCUUAAUUAAAUAGUUGAGUUGAAUAUUUAAUAAAUAAGUAAUUAGUAUAUAAUUUAAUUAUCUCAUAAGUAUAUUAGUAUAAGUUUUUUUUUUUUCUUUUAUCUUAAGUAAUAUAUGAAGCAUAUAUUUUUCAACAUUGGAUAACCACUAUCUACCAACACAGGAAAAUAGUUAACAAUGACUAACCGAGGAAAAUUAUUUAAUCAGAUAGCUCAGAAGUGAUAAUAACUGAAGAGGUUCCAACUGAUAUUGUAGCAAGUCACAGUUAGAAUAUGUGAAUGAACAUUGUCUACAACAUAGGUUAAAAAGUUCCAACAAUGUGAAUAUCAACACUGAUAUGGUGGUAAUACGUUACAUACAGAGUAGUCUGCAGUGUUUUAACGUAUUAUGAAAGGGAUACGUUAUAACAGGUGUGGUUGGUUAAAAUGAUGAGGUGUAUAUAAUCUGAAUAGAUAUGAGUUAUAUUCAAACCAACCAUUGCAACCCAUUAAAAGUGGUUGUGUAUGUUGAUGAAUGGACACUACCAACCAUUGCAACCCAUUGGGAGUGGUUUGUGUAUGUUGACGAAGGGACACCACCAACCAUUGAAACCCAUUGGAAGUGGUUGCGUUUGUUGACAAAGGGACACCACGUUUCCUAUAAAUACCCCCUUGGGGCCAUUUGCAAAAUACACCAACUCAGAAUUCUUCUUUAUGUUUUUGAGUUCUCUGUUUCUCCUUUCUUCUUUUCACUUCUUUGCAUACACAUAGUGUUAAUGUGUGAGUUUGAGUCUGGUUUAGAGAGAGAGUACUACACCGAGCUGGUUUGCUCAUUUCUUCGGUUUGCAGUGCUGCUACCGAAGAAAGAAAGGUCAUUGUAUCCUAGGAGAUAGAAUCCAAUUCUAAACUCAACCAACUAACAAGUUCUUUUUUAUAGUUUUAUUUUAUUAGAAAAUUAUAUAUAUAUAUUAUUGUUCUAUAAUAUAUAUAUAUUAUAUUUUCAUAUAAUAUUUAAAUAGUAAUACUGUAGUAUAUGGUACACUUAAACUAUUUUGGACAACAAACUUAAGACAGAUUUUGUUUUACUAUAGUAUUGUUUUUUAAAUAUUAUUGUUGGUAUAUCAAAUUUUGGUAAAUUGAAUUGCGGUCUAUAUAUUUCAUAUAUAACAGACGAAUGACAAGUAUAAGUACAACUGUGCCUAAUGUUAAACUUAAGACAGAUUUUGUUUUACUAUAGUAUUAUUUUUUAAAUAUUAUUGUUGGUAUAUCAUAUUUUGGUAAAUUGAAUUGCGGUCUAUAUAUUUCAUA